UGCUGCGGGCUCUGCUCACACCUGAGUCUCAUCCUCAUCAGCGCACCUGACCUGUGUCCCGUAAUCAGCCACGGCUUAAGAGGCAGACUCAAACAUCCAGUCCCUGCUGGAUUGUUGAGUAUUCACACAAAACCGCCAACUGGAAAACUCUCUGUUCCGCCCGCAGCCUGGUCUUUCCCCUGCUCCCAGUCUGCCAGCAGCCACGUCGUGUUUCCCUCAGCCCAGGAUCAGGAAGGGAGUUUCUUCCUCGAACCCCCAACCCCCCUGCUCUACAUCUAUUGAAUAAACUGUGUAUUCUCUACUUAGAUCUGCGUUUGGGUCUUCUCUGCUUGGAAAUUCUGACAGAUACACUUAAAACAAUGGUAUGAUAUGCUUCAAAGUUUAAAUGAGAGAAUCUGUCUCCUAGUUGUCUGUCAUUUCCUGUUGACAGCUGCCGAGGUACUUGCUAACUAUCUGUCUGUGACCACCUGGAUUGUUUAUUUGGAGAAAAAUUCACAACUUUAUUGGUCUUUUUUUGAACAGUGGAAAGACCGCAUGUGUAUUUACCACCAUCUUUGACCGAGUGGUGAUCAUACAGAGGAUGUUAACAGAUAAUAGUCAAGAGUUUUGUUUGUGUUGCAAUGCUGUCAAAAGUUUUUCAGUGUGAAGCGAAUAAAGCCUGUUAGGACUGGA